rnacentral:rRNA from 1 species
GACGAACUCUGGCGGCGUGCUUAACACAUGCAAGUCGAACGGUAAGGCUCCAGCUUGCUGGGGUACACGAGUGGCGAACGGGUGAGUAACACGUGGGUGACCUGCCCUGCACUUCGGGAUAAGCCUGGGAAACUGGGUCUAAUACCGGAUAGGACCGCACCGUGAGGGUGUGGUGGAAAGUUUUUUCGGUGUGGGAUGGGCCCGCGGCCUAUCAGCUUGUUGGUGGGGUAAUGGCCUACCAAGGCGGCGACGGGUAGCCGGCCUGAGAGGGUGGACGGCCACAUUGGGACUGAGACACGGCCCAGACUCCUACGGGAGGCAGCAGUGGGGAAUAUUGCACAAUGGGCUGAAGCCUGAUGCAGCGACGCCGCGUGGGGGAUGACGGCCUUCGGGUUGUAAACUCCUUUCACCAUCGACGAAGGGUUUCUGACGGUAGAUGGAGAAGAAGCACCGGCUAACUACGUGCCAGCAGCCGCGGUAAUACGUAGGGUGCGAGCGUUGUCCGGAAUUACUGGGCGUAAAGAGCUCGUAGGUGGUUUGUCGCGUCGUCUGUGAAAUUCCGGGGCUUAACUCCGGGCGUGCAGGCGAUACGGGCAUAACUUGAGUACUGUAGGGGAGACUGGAAUUCCUGGUGUAGCGGUGAAAUGCGCAGAUAUCAGGAGGAACACCGGUGGCGAAGGCGGGUCUCUGGGCAGUAACUGACGCUGAGGAGCGAAAGCAUGGGGAGCGAACAGGAUUAGAUACCCUGGUAGUCCAUGCCGUAAACGGUGGGCGCUAGGUGUGGGUUUCCUUCCACGGGAUCCGUGCCGUAGCUAACGCAUUAAGCGCCCCGCCUGGGGAGUACGGCCGCAAGGCUAAAACUCAAAGGAAUUGACGGGGGCCCGCACAAGCGGCGGAGCAUGUGGAUUAAUUCGAUGCAACGCGAAGAACCUUACCUGGGCUUGACAUAUACAGGAUCGCGCCAGAGAUGGUGUUUCCCUUGUGGCUUGUAUACAGGUGGUGCAUGGUUGUCGUCAGCUCGUGUCGUGAGAUGUUGGGUUAAGUCCCGCAACGAGCGCAACCCUUGUCUUAUGUUGCCAGCACGUUGUGGUGGGGACUCGUAAGAAACUGCCGGGGUUAACUCGGAGGAAGGUGGGGAUGACGUCAAAUCAUCAUGCCCCUUAUGUCCAGGGCUUCACACAUGCUACAAUGGUCGGUACAGUGGGUUGCCAGUCCGUGAGGGCGAGCUAAUCCCGCAAAGCCGGUCUCAGUUCGGAUCGGGGUCUGCAACUCGACCCCGUGAAGUCGGAGUCGCUAGUAAUCGCAGAUCAGCAACGCUGCGGUGAAUACGUUCCCGGGCC